rnacentral:rRNA from 1 species
AACGAACGCUGGCGGCAUGCCUAACACAUGCAAGUCGAACGAGACCUUCGGGUCUAGUGGCGCACGGGUGCGUAACGCGUGGGAACCUGCCCUUAGGUUCGGAAUAACUCCCCGAAAGGGGUGCUAAUACCGGAUAAUGUCUUCGGACCAAAGAUUUAUCGCCUUUGGAUGGGCCCGCGUUGGAUUAGCUAGUUGGUAGGGUAAAAGCCUACCAAGGCGACGAUCCAUAGCUGGUCUGAGAGGAUGAUCAGCCACACUGGGAAUGAGACACGGCCCAGACUCCUACGGGAGGAAGCAGUGGGGAAGAUUGGAAAAUGGGCGAAAGCCUGAUCCAGCAAGGCCGCGUGAGUGAUGAAGGCCUUAGGGUUGUAAAGCUCUUGUACCCGGGAUGAUAAUGACAGUACCGGGAGAAUAAGCUCCGGCUAACUCCGUG